GAUGAAGAACGUAGCGAAAUGCGAUACUUGGUGUGAAUUGCAGAAUCCCGUGAACCAUCGAGUCUUUGAACGCAAGUUGCGCCUCAAGCCAUUAGGUUGUGGGCACGUCUGCCUGGGCGUCACAUAUCGUUGCCUGAUGCCAGUUUCCUCGUGAUGGGUGACUGUGCAGGGCGAAUGAUGGCUUCCCGUGAGCAUUGUUGCCUCAUGGUUGGUUGAAAAUUGAGUCCUUGGUAGGGAGCGCCGUGAUAGAUGGUGGUUGAGUGACGAACGAGACCCAAUCAUGUGAGACCCCUACCGAAUUUGGCCUUCAUGACCCACAUGCGUCUUUGGAACGCUCAUGACGAGACCUCAGGUCAGGCGGGGCUACCCGCUGAGUUUAAGCAUAUCAAUAAGCGGAGGA
rnacentral:misc_RNA from 1 species